UACGUAGGGGGCAAGCGUUGUUCGGAAUUACUGGGCGUAAAGCGCGUGUAGGCGGCUCGGAAAGUCGGGUGUGAAAGCCCUGGGCUCAACCCAGGAAGUGCACUCGAAACUCCCGAGCUCGAGUCCCGGAGAGGAAGGUGGAAUUCUCGGUGUAGAGGUGAAAUUCGUAGAUAUCGAGAGGAACAUCGGUGGCGAAGGCGGCCUUCUGGACGGUGACUGACGCUGAGACGCGAAAGCGUGGGGAGCAAACAGG
rnacentral:rRNA from 1 species